rnacentral:tRNA from 1 species
CUGAGAGUAUAGCUCAAUGGUAGAGCACUUUCCUAGCAUGUGAGAAGCUCUUGGUUCCAUUCCCAGCUUUGAAA